UUCACGGCUGUUUUAUUUCCUGUGAUGUAUAAAUUAGCCAGCUUAGGUCUGUAAUGUGAAUGAAAGGAAAACAUCUCAGGGUCAGAACACUCUGCCCUUUAAGUUUGGCCCAUCAGGGAAAGGAUAAAUGGGAAGGCAUAGAAGAGCUCCAUGGAAUGGAUUCUGAAGUAGAUGAACAAGGCAGUGAAGCAGUCUGUAUUCAUUGUCUAGAACGCACCAUUGGUGUCCUCACCGACUCGGCUCAUUCUUUGGAUUAACAGUACUGUUCAGCCUUCUGUGAAA
rnacentral:lncRNA from 1 species